AACAUUUGCUGGUGAUUGUUUGUAGUUAAUGAAACAAAGAUACUUUUUUUUAUCAUUUCUCAUGAUUGUGUAUCAUAAUAGGAGAAAAAGUUAUUUACAAAAAAAGGUCAAGACCGAAUAAAAUGAUCACUUCAACCGGAGAAUUAUUUACAAAAGAUCUCAGGUAUCCGAAGAAAUCUUACCAUCAAACCAACAGGCGCAUUUAGUGCGCAGUUGGCUGGUUGUGUUAGGUGAUUGUUUAAAGCUCUACAGAAUUCCUAAACGACGCCAAGGAUUGGUCAUGUAUAUUAGUUCCUUGAAACACUGCGUUUUAACCGUUGUUGACGAGCUUUCUUUGUUUUAAAGUUGUUGGUUGUUUGCAGAACGUGCGUCUGGAGUUAAACCAGUGAUGUGUACAGACUGAUAAGUAUAUUUUGCUGGAACUAUUUCGUUCAUUUAAAGUGCAACAAUUUUAAUUAGUAAGGAAUUAAUUAGCUUAAUUACUUACACAAUUUCAUCCUUCUCUUGAAGUUCGAUAUUUUUUUCUUCAAUACUAAACUGUCAUUUUAUAUUUGUGUUUUUAAAACACGGACUCAUUAGUGGUAACGCUCGCUGUAUUUUCAGGGUAUUUAUGUUUCCAAGAAAAUUGUGAUUUGUGGGUCAGUUCUCCUGAGUCCUCCAGCAGUUGAGUGCUAUAAAGCCAAAACUCUAUCUGGCAGAUAAACAGAUCUAAAUCAUCGGUGUUACCGAACUUUAUGUUUAUAAAAUACCAGCCGAGACCCAAACGUUUCGUUUAACGAACAGGUUGUUCUGAACACUAGCAAGAAUUUGUGUCCUACCUAAAAGAGGUUACCGGCCUUUAUCUGCCUAAACAAUGGAAACCUGCUUUGGGUCUCUGACAGACACUCAAGUGAGAGAGCUCAAGGCAGCGUUUGACCUUUUAGAUAAGAAUAAAGAUGGACGAGUAAACGCCAGUGAAAUCAAGUGUAUGUUAGAAAAGCUAAGAAUAUUUCUCACUGACGCUAUGGUUCAUCAUUUAGUUCAACAGGCUACCAAAAGAGAUGACGGUCUCAUCAGCGAAGAUGAGUUUCUGUCAUGGAUGGCCCGUCACCAAAACACAAUGAAAGAUGACGUCAUGGAAGAUCUCCUCGCCGCCUUCAGGGUUUUCGACAAAGACAAAAACGGUUUUAUCAGUAGGGAUGAAUUACGAGUUGCAAUGGAGAUGAUUGGUGAACCAAUGUCAGAAGUUCAACUCGACGAGAUGAUAAAAAUUACGGACAUAGACAACGACGGAAGAAUAAAUUAUGAAGAAUUUGUUCGAAUCUUGCUGUAAGAAAACACAGCACUAUGUGAACAUCACCAGCACAGUUCCUUAUUUUUUUACCGGACCUAUAUUCAAUGGUAAACGUACUUUUUUGGAAUAGCAAUAUUUUACACUGGAGAAUCCUUUAACUCUGAGUUACCCACCACAAUGUUAUGAAUGAAAAACAUAAACUCCCAAAAUGUAAAGUAUUUACACGUUUCAGAUUUCCGUUCACUGCUGUAGUAACUAAACAACUGAGAAACAGGGCAACCCUUUUUGUUCAUUAGUUUUAAAGAAUAUUUACAUACUGAUUGAAUGUAUAAAUUAUAUACAUCAAGUGAUCCAAAUCCCUUAAAAUAUGCACAAAAACGCAUUUUCGAUGUAUAUAAUGGUUAUAAUUUAGAUUAUAGUACUGUAGUUCUUGACAUGGAUUUAUAGAAUGUUUAUGUUUGAGUUCAUGUGAUUUACUUGUAGUUAAGGUUAUGUAUUUAUUUAAU
rnacentral:misc_RNA from 1 species